rnacentral:rRNA from 1 species
GGCCGCAUGGCGGCCGCGGGAAUCGAUUACCGGCAGUCUCCUUAAGUCCCGCAACGAGCGCAACCCCUAUCCUUAUUUGCCAGCGCGUUAUGGCGGGAACUCUAAGGAGACUGCCGGUGAUAAACCGGAGGAAGGUGGGGACGACGUCAAGUCAUCAUGGCCCUUACGGGAUGGGCUACACACGUGCUACAAUGGCAGGUACAGAGGGCAGCAAUACCGCGAGGUGGAGCGAAUCCCACAAAGCUUGUCGUAGUCCGGAUUGGAGUCUGCAACUCGACUCCAUGAAGUCGGAAUCGCUAGUAAUCGUAGAUCAGAAUGCUACGGUGAAUACGUUCCCGGGCCUUGUACACACCGCCCGUCACA